CUCCUUCCGGCUGCCGUACGCGCGCAGGCGCAGUGGCCCCGCCUCGCCUUUCCUUGCUUGGGCAGAUCGUUCCCAGGAUAACCAGAGGUGAUCACGAGCUCAGGGCAAAGAAACAUGGCAGCAAGGCGAAUUGCACAGGAGUCUUUGGAUGCUGUACUACAAGAGAAAUCCAAACGGUACCAUGGCGAGUCCACUAGUGAAGCUGUGGGAGAAUCUCUUCAGUUUAAAGCUCAAGAUCUCUUAAGGACUGUCCCCAGAGCCCGAGUAGAUGCAUACGAGGACAUUCAUAGUGAUGGCAGGUACUCAGUCAGUGGAUCUGGAGUACACACUCGAGACCCUGGGAGAGAGGGCCUGAGAAGUGACAUGUUUCCAGGGCCAUCCUUCAGGUCCAGCAAUCCUUCCAUCAGUGAAGACAACUUCUUUCGUAAAGAAUGUGGCCGGGAUCUGGAAUCCACUCACACUGACUCCCGGGACCAGGGCUUUGGCCAUCGGAAACUGGGACAUUUCCAUCCUCAAGACUGGAAACUUGCACUCCGGGGCUCUUGGGAGCAAGAUUUUGGCCACCCUGUUUCUCAAGAGCAUUCAUGGUCCCAAGAGUAUGGUUUUGGUCCCUCUGUGCUGGGGGACUUGGCCUCCUCCAGGCGGAUGGAGACAGAAUGUGUAGAGAAGGAGACUAGGGAGUAUGAUGUGGACUGUCCCUUGGAGGCUGACACUGUGCCCCGGGGUGGGGGUCAGGUCCAGGCCAGAAACCGAGCCCUAAACAUUAUUGACCAGGAAGGCGGCCUCUUAGGAAAGGGGGACACUCAGGGUCUGCUCACAGCAAAGGGAGGUGUCGGGAAACUUGUCACACUGAAAAAUGUGACCACAAAGAAAGUACCUGUUAUAAAUCGUAUUGCUUCCAAAACUCAGGGCACCAACCAAAUUCAGAAAAUCACCCCAACUCCUGAUGUGAUUCUGGGGACAAACCCAGGGCUAGAAGACAUACAGUUCCCUGCUCUAAAGAUCCCUUGGGGGCUCGACUUAAGGGGCAUGCAGUUCCCUGGAAGGAAAGUGAGCUUUGACAUCAUGGAUAAAUCGGAUGUGUUUUCCAGAUUUGGCAUUGAAAUCAUCAAAUGGGCGGGCUUCCACACCAUCAAAGAUGAUGUGAAGUUUUCCCAGCUCUUCCAGACUCUCUUUGAGCUUGAAACAGAAACCUGUGCUAAAAUGCUUGCUUCGUUCAAGUGCUCCUUAAAACCAGAGCACAGAGAUUUUUGCUUUUUUACUAUCAAAUUUUUAAAGCACUCUGCUUUGAAAACACCUAGAGUUGAUAAUGAGUUUUUAAACAUGCUUUUAGAUAAAGGUGCUGUGAAGACCAAAAAUUGCUUUUUUGAGAUCAUCAAGCCCUUUGACAAAUAUAUCAUGCGGCUCCAGGACCGGCUUCUGAAGAGUGUCACACCCCUACUCAUGGCCUGCAAUGCCUAUGAGCUGAGUGUCAAAAUGAAGACCCUCACCACACCCCUGGAUUUGGCCGUGGCUCUGGAGACUACCAAUUCCCUCUGCCGGAAAUCUCUGGCCCUUUUGGGCCAGACCUUCUCCUUGGCCUCUUCCUUCCGACAGGAGAGAAUCUUAGAGGCUGUGGGUCUCCAGGACAUUGCCCCCUCUCCUGCAUCCUUCCCAAACUUCGAGGACUCCACUCUUUUCGGGAGAGAAUAUAUAGACCACCUGAAGGCCUGGCUGGUGGCCAGUGGCUAUCCCCUGCAGGUCAAGAGAGCUGUGCCAGAGCCACCCCAAGAGCAGCUCCAAGAUGAGGAGAAAACUGCACCUGUUAUUAAGCCCCAAGGUCAGGCCUGGGCUGCCAGUACUCUGAGCCACGCAGUCCCCCAGCGGGCAGAUCACAAGGUGGUGGACAUCAUAGAUCAGCUGGCCACCCGUGUCAUUCAGGGUAGCCUGUUACCCAGAGAGCGAGCUCUUCUUCAGGAGGACCCUACUUACUGGUUUUUGUCAGACAAGAAGAGUCUGGAAUACAAGUACUACAGGCUGAAAUUGGUAGAGAUGCAACGGGUGAGCCAGAGCUGGCCAGGAGUGGAUCGGAGGCCUACCCCAGCACAGUGCGCGGUGCGAGCCAUGUUAUAUGCUCAGGCUGUCCGCAGCCUCAAGAGGAGACUCCUUCCAUGGCAGCGCCGUAAGCGGGUAGUUCGAGGUCAGGGAAUGCGGGGCCGGAAAGCCAGGCGAGCUGCUAUGGUCACACGGACCCUCCAGCCCUCAAGCACCUGGUCAAGACCCUAUGGCCAGCAAGCUACAGGAGCAUCACAGGUGAAGCCACCAGUACCAGAUGGAAAUGACACUGCCAAGGACUGCCCACCAGAGUCUUCCAGGCUCCAACCUCAGGCCCUCAGCUCUGAAGCCUCCAAUUUGGCCCCCCAGCUAGCAGCAGGGGAUGAUUCUGAAGCCCCAAAGGCCACGUGUCCUUGCCCCUCUGCUGAUGUUGACAUGAAGACCAUGGAGACUGCAGAGAAGCUGGCCAGAUUUGUCGCCCAAGUGGGACCUGAGAUCGAACAGUUCAGCAUUGAAAACAGCACUGACAACCCUGACCUGUGGUUCCUCCACGACCAGAGCAGCUCGGCUUUCAAGUUCUAUCGCAAGAAAGUAUUUGAACUGUGCCCAUCCAUUCGUUUCCAAUCCUCACCUCUUAGCCUUGAUGCUGGUGGAGGCAAGGCUGAUGGCUCCCCAAAGAGCCCCACAACCCACAAGGAGGGUGGAGAGGAAGGGUGCCCCCAGCAGGAGGCUGUGCUGGAGGGCUCUGAGGGACAGGGCCUGCCAGAGGAGGACCAGGAUGAGGACGAGGAAGGGGGAGAGGAAGUCCAUGUUCAAGGUCCUUCUGGGCCACAGGCAGGAGUUGCCAUGUCCCAGAGCUCUGAGGGCAUACUGGGUGAAGGGAUCGAGGAAGACCUAGGUGGAGCCCCUAGCCUGUCACAGGCUGCCUCAGGCAGUUGCUUUCCCCGGAAGAGGAUCAGCAGCAAGUCCUUGAAGGUCGGCAUGAUUCCUGCCCCCAAGAGGGUAUGUCUCAUCCAAGAGCCAAAAGUCCAUGAACCAGUUCGAAUCGCCUAUGACAGGCCUCGGGGCCGUCCCAUAGCCAAAAAGAAGAAACCCAAGGAUUUGGAGUUCGCCCAGCAGAAGCUGACUGACAAGAACUUGGGCUUCCAGAUGCUGCAGAAGAUGGGCUGGAAGGAGGGCCGCGGCUUGGGCUCCCUCGGGAAGGGCAUCCGUGAGCCUGUCAGCGUGGGAACUCUCUCAGAAGGGGAGGGCUUGGGGGCCGACGGGCAGGAGCAAAAGGAAGACACGUUCGACAUCUUCCGCCAGAGGAUGAUGCAGAUGUACAGACACAAGCGGGCCAGCAAAUAGAUGAGAACCACUGGUGACAAAGAUAAUCCUCGAAGCAGCAAUUGCUCUUAACACCACUCGCCCUGGAUGCCUGGAGCCCAAGUCCGCUUCGGGUCUCUUCUGUGAGAGCAACACAUCAGAGAGUGCUGGCCUGCCACCCACUGUGCCCUGGCUUGGGCAUUCCCUCCCUGACAUCUGUCGUGAAUGUUGGUGGUUUUGGUCCUUGGUGAGGCCUAGAAGAAAUUUGUGAUGUCACCAAUUGGAAGUUAUUUUGUUUUCUUAAGAGUCUACAGAGUUGUGAAUGUUGUUAGUCAUUCAGCAUUGCAAUAAAUGCAGAGGAAACCGUA